AUGUUCUUCCGACUUCUUGUAUCCUUUGUCUUUCAAUAAAUACGAUCAAAGGGAUGUGAACAAUGAGUGUGCUUUACAAUGAGUGUCUCUCAUGAACGGAAGCAAGUUUGCCGACCACCUUAACUUACCCACCAAAAUGGCCACUCAUCUAUCAUAUUGACAUGUGUCAUUUUUUUAACCAUGGUUGAGACUUUUUUUUAACCAUGGUUUCUCAACCAUAGUUGAUAUAUACAUGUUAAUAAAUUG
rnacentral:lncRNA from 1 species